UGAGGAAUAUUGCACAAUGGGCGAAAGCCUGAUGCAGCGACGCCGCGUGGGUGAAGAAGGUUUUCGGAUCGUAAAACCCUUUUCUGUGUGACGAGAGAGGACGGUAGCACAGGAAUAAGUCUCGGCUAACUACGUGCCAGCAGCCGCGGUAAAACGUAGGAGACAAACGUUAUCCGGAGUUACUGGGGCGUAAAGGGCGUGCAGGCGGCAGCCUAAGUCUGGCGUGAAAUAUCCCGGCUUAACCGGGGAGAGGUCGUCGGAUACUGGGCAGCUAGAGGGCGGUAGAGGCGUGUGGAAUUCCGGGUGUAGUGUGAAAUGCGUAGAGAUCCGGAGGAACACCGAGUGGCGAAGGCGACACGCUGGGCCGCACCUGACGCUAAGACGCGACAGCAUGGGGAGCGA
rnacentral:rRNA from 1 species